rnacentral:tRNA from 1 species
GUCCGUGUCGUCUAGUGGUUAGGACGUGAGCUUAACACGCUCAAGAUCGAGAGGGUUCGAUCCCCUCCAUGGACA